rnacentral:rRNA from 1 species
UACGGAGGGUGCAAGCGUUGUCCGGAUUUAUUGGGUUUAAAGGGUGCGUAGGCGGCCUUAUAAGUCAGCGGUGAAAUACCCAGGCUCAACCUGGGGGGUGCCGUUGAUACUGUAUGGCUUGAGUACGUUCCGUGUACAUGGAAUUUAUGGUGUAGCGGUGAAAUGCAUAGAUACCAUAAGGAACACCGAUAGCGAAGGCAUUGUACAGGGGCGUAACUGACGCUGAUGCACGAAAGCGUGGGUAGCGAACAGG